rnacentral:misc_RNA from 1 species
UAACAAUAAUAAUAAUAAUGAUAAUAACAGUGGUGAUAAGGUCGCUAACAUUCCUUGGCUUGAAGAGCUGAGAAAGCUUCGUGUAGCUGAGCUCAAACAAGAGGUUCAGCGAUACGAUGUCUCCAUCCUGUAGAGUCUCUUUCUUUUUUUAGAAAUUUUUUGAAAUUUUCUUUUUCAUAAUUUAGAUCUGAAAAACUCUUUCACAGUUCUCUGCAGCUAAAGGUCAAGAGAUUGGAGGAGGAGCGAGAGAAAAGCGUGCAAGGUAACCAAAACGAUGAUGGAGGAAUACCAGAUCUGGAACAAGAGGCUUCACAAAACGACAAAAAAGACGAACCAGAGAAGAAGGAUUCCGUUUCCGGCGGCGAAGAAUCUGACCGGGAAAACCGGUCGGUGAACGAGUCGAACUCCACCGGAUCGGAACAGAAGACGGCAGAGAAGGAUGGGGUUAAGAUGGAAGCUGAGCCGGUUCAGGAAGGUCCUUGUGAGGCAGCGCCGGUUUUGAGCGUUUCUAAUUCGAAACCGGUGGGUGGAGGAGGAGAGGAAUCGCACGAGUUGGGUGACUCAGUGACUCAGUUGAGUAGUGAGGUGCAGAGUUCAGCGAGUUUAGGGAGAAAAAGGAAGAGGAAAGAGAGGAAGAGGGGGGAAGAAAUUGGAGGCGAUGGGAUCAAAGGGGCGACCGUGAAAUCUGAGCCGUUGAUUGGGUUGAUCGAAAUGAUUCGGGCCCAUAGACACGGUUCGUUGUUUGAGGGCCGGCUCGAAACUCAGGAAACGGAUGCGUAUAAAAACAUGGUCAGGCAGCAUCUGGAUUUGGAAACAAUAGAGACAAAGCUGGAACAAGGAUCCUAUUCUUCUUCAAAUCUCUCAUUCUAUCGAGAUCUCUUGCUUCUCGUCAACAAUGCUAUUGUUUUCUUCCCCAAAUCCUCAACCGAAUCACUUGCAGCUUAUGAACUCCGAUUGCUUCUCUCAAAUGAAAUGAAAAAAGAGUCCCAGAAAUCUGAGUUUACGGUAGCAUCUCAAAAUAUUGCAUCUCAGCCCAAAAGUGAGCUUGAAAGAUCAAACUCAUUGCUCAAGGGUUCAGCUCCCAUUGUAGUGUGUCGCAAACGGAGUUCAUUGUCUGCGAAGCCUUCCUCUUCUGGCUAUGGACAAAAGAUUGAGCAGCAACAACAGCCGCAGCAAAGCAAUGACACUGAACAGCCUAGUGAUCCAAAGCCAACAAUAGUUGAACAGAGUACCAUGAAGAUAGAGUCGAAGGAGAAGCCUGCAACUGGCACAAGAAGCUCGAGAAGAACCAACAAAAAUCUCACCAAAGUUACUAGUGCUCCAAGCAAGAAGCAAAAUGCAAGUCCUACAACAAAAGCUGAUGCUGACAAGCCUGAAACUCCGAAAACUGAUAAGAAGAAAACUGAAGCAUUGGCAUUGGAUAAGAAACGAAGUGCGGUGGAUUUCUUGAAGAGAAUAAAGAAAAAUUCUCCAGUAGAAACAUCAAAGAAUACUAGGGGAGGUGUCAAUGGUAGUGGAGAUAAAAAAACUGAUGGUACUGGGAAGGUAGAAAAAGGGAAAGAAAGGGUCUUGAGGAGAAACAACGAUGAGAAACAAGAGGAGAGUAGUCCAUCCAAAAGAAACGUUGGGAGGCCAUCAAAGAAGGGAGCGGAGACAAGCAAGGUUUCAGGAAAGCGGGGGAGGGAAGGCAGUGGAAAGGAGGCAGCGAAGCGGCCAACAAAGCGGUCUAGGAGGUAGAUAUUGGCUUUAUAUGUAAUAUAGCUAUUUUUUUGGGGCUCAUUUAGCUUUGACAAGGACUCAGAACUCAAAACCUCAGUAUUAAAGAUGAAUGUAGUAUCAUUAAAAUUAAAACUCAUUGAUGGUAGUGAAUUCUGUAUAUUAGGGGGCGUUGGGUUCAAUAUAACUGGAUUAGCAUGUAUUAUUGUGAUCUUUCACCCUAUGUAACAUUGGGCAACACUUUAAUUCUUUAUUUUACACGUAGUGUUUAGAUCAAAUGAAAACUGUGGUAGCCGUGUAUCCAUCAUUUCUUUUCUUUUAUUUUAUCCCACCUUUUCCCUGUGUUUGUGUAAUGUGAACAGUUUCAGCAUAGUCAAAAAGCUUAAAGUGUG